rnacentral:rRNA from 1 species
CCCCCAGCAAGAACAUAAGUAUUGGGGGUAAUGCCUGCCCAGUGACACUGUUAAACGGCCGCGGUAUCCUAACCGUGCAAAGGUAGCGUAAUCACUUGUCUUUUAAAUAAAGACUAGAAUGAAUGGCCAAACGAGGCUCUACCUGUCUCUUACAAAUAAUCAGUGAAAUUGAUCUUCCCGUGCAAAAGCGGGGAUAACACUAUAAGACGAGAAGACCCUGUGGAACUUCAAAUAUAAAAUCAACUAUCACCAACACCCACCCACGGACCUUAUACCAAAUAGCACCUGAUUUUUAUUUUCGGUUGGGGCGACCUCGGAACAAAACAAAACCUCCGAAAAAUAAAAAACCCUUUAAACCUAGAACAACAGUUCAAAGUGCUUCCGGCAAAACGAUCCAAUACACUUGAUCAACGAACCAAGCUACCCCAGGGAUAACAGCGCAAUCCCAUCCUAGAGUCCCUAUCGACGAUGGGGUUUACGACCUCGAUGUUGGAUCAGGACAUCCUAAUGGUGUAGCCGCUAUUAAGGGUUCGUUUGUUCAACGAUUA